UACGGAGGGUGCAAGCGUUAUCCGGAUUCACUGGGUUUAAAGGGUGCGUAGGUGGGCAGGUAAGUCAGUGGUGAAAUCUCCGGGCUUAACUCGGAAACUGCCAUUGAUACCAUCUUUCUUGAAUACCGUGGAGGUCAGCGGAAUAUGUCAUGUAGCGGUGAAAUGCUUAGAUAUGACAUAGAACACCAAUUGCGAAGGCAGCUGGCUACACGAAUAUUGACACUGAUGCACGAAAGCGUGGGGAUCAAACAGG
rnacentral:rRNA from 1 species